rnacentral:lncRNA from 1 species
UGUUCCUCUCUAUAUAUCAUGGGAACAUUCUAUGCAGUCAAGAUUAUUCAUUUUAAUGAGAUCUGUAUAAUCCAUAUCUCUAGGAAGAUUCUUUUUAUUGGAUAUUUUAUUUAUUUACAUUUCAAAUGUUAUCCCCUUCCCUGGUUUCCCCUCCGAAAACCCCAUAUCCCAUGCUCCCUCCCCCUGCUUCUAUGAGGGUGCUCCUCCAACCUACCCACCCACUUCUGCCUCCCCGCCCUUGCAUUCCUCUACACUGGGGCAUUGAGCCUUCUCAGGACCAAGGGCCUCUCUGCCCAUUGCUGACCAAUAAGGCCAUCCUCUGCUACAUAUGUGGCUGGAGCUAUGGGUCCCUCCAUGGGUACUUUUUGACUGGUGGCUUAGUCCCUGGGAGCUCUGGGAGUUCUGAUUGGUUGAUAUUGUUGUUCUUCCUAUGGGUUGCAAACUCCUUUAGCUCCUUCAGUCCUUUCUCUAGUUCUUCCAUUGGGGACCCCGUGCUCAGUCCAAUGGUUAGCUACAAGCAUCCUUUUCUGUAUUUGUCAGGCACUGGCAGAGCCUCUCAGGAGACAGCUAUAUCAGGCUCCUGACAUCAAGCACUUCUUGGCAUCCACCAUAGUGUCUGGGUUUGGUGACUGUAUAUGGGAUGGAUCCCCAGGCGGGGCAGUCUCUGGAUGGCCUUUCCUUCGGUCUCUGCUCCACAUUUUGUCUCUGUAUUCCCUCUCUUGAGUAUUUUGUUCCCCUUCUAAGAAGGAAUAGGCCGAGGAGUGGGUCUUGAUAAUGAAACUUUCUACAAGUGAAAUCAAACCUAGAAAUAAUAAUAUUUAACAUGAUCUCCAAUAAGACAGCUAACACUGAUGCAGUAGGUCUUAUGGUUUACUAUUGCCGCGAGGUUCCUGACUUCUAUUGUAAAUUUUCUAUAAGUUUGUUAGGUUUUUAAAUGAGUGGUCUGAUUGUUACCAAAGGUUUCUUCUGUUUUGUGACCAUAGUAAAGAGUCCUCAUUUGCACAGCAAUAUGAAGGACUGUCAUAUGCUUACUAUUUUUAGCCACGAAGAAUUUAGACAGAAUACUAGUAGUUGUAUUUGAGGACCAAGGGGUAAAGUGUGCGUGCACGUGUGUGUGUGGGGGGGCGCCUAUUCUGUGUGUUUACAUGGUUUUUUAAGGUAAUGAUUACUUUGUAGGCACUAAUUACUGUUCAGAAUUAUUUUAAUAUUUUCUUAUGAGCUACAAUCACUUUCUCCCAUUUUAUUAAAUAUUGCAUUUUUCAUUUAUAAUAACUAUAGCUCUACUGUUCAUGCUUAUAUACCUAGAUGGAAUAGAGAAUAAAUGUACUAUCUUUGUUUUUAUCUAGCCAUCAUUUGUGGAAGUGGCAAAUUUCUUCUUAAACUAAAUUUAAGUAUCAUGAAUUUUAUUAAGGAGAUUUCUUGAAUUUUUCUUUUCUAUAUUACAAAUCAGGAGCCAACAGAGAAGAAAUAACAAAACAUUGGGACUGGUUGGAACAAAAUAUAAUGAAGACUUUAUCUGUGUUUGAUUCAAAUGAAGAUAUUACCAAUUUUGUACAAGGCAAAAUAAGAGUAAGUGGAAUGGAUGAGUAUAUAAGAAAAAUGUAGAUAUUCUCAGAGGAGUUUAUUCUCCCAGAAAGUAAUUAUAGCAUUUGCAGAAGAUAUAUAGCAUUGAAAAUAACUUUGUUAAGCAAAGUAAGCUAGAUUCAAAGUCAAGUAUUCCAUGUUUCUUUCAUAUUCAGAAUUUAAAUUACACACACACAGACAUGCACACACAUGCAUACUCAAAGUGAGGGACAAAACUACAUGGAGGAAGGAAGGGAACUAAUGGAAACAGAAAGAGAAAUGGGAAUAAAACAAAAGACAUAUAUUGCAUUUUUCUCUCAUACACAGAUUUCAAUGUAUAUUAAUAUUCAGAUUAUAGGAGCAGAAACUGUUGCAUAUUUCUUGUGCACAAAUAUAAAUACUUAUUAAAACUUACAUUGUAUAUAUAUAUAUAUAUAUAUAUAUAUAUAUAUAUAUAUACACACACACACAAUGUCAUUCAUAUAUACAUGUAUACAAUAUAAGUUUUAGUAUAUAUAUGAAUGACAUUGAAAUUGAAAGUAAGAAGGGGUUUGGAGGAGUAGAGUGGUGGGGGACAAGAGAGGGCUACAGGCAUGAAUUAUGAGCAAAGUACAGUGAUAUACAUGUAUGGAAAUGUCAUAAUAAAACCCAGUAUUUUAUAUCUUUUUUUUUCAAAUAGUAAGAAUUUAUGGAAAUCAACUCACCUUCAGUUUCCUCAUUGCUUAGACAGUUGGUAUGAGUUCUAAGGGCCCCAAAGAAAAUGCACAUGACUCC